rfam:Gossypium raimondii Chr01_contig_1205, whole genome shotgun sequence.
UUUUGAAAAUUUCCUUCAUUUCUACAGUUAAAAAUUAGUCACAUGACGUGCCACGUGUAUCUAAUGUUGGCAUAUAAGGACUAUUUUUUAACGGUAAAAAUGAAUGAAUUUUUUAACA